rnacentral:rRNA from 1 species
GACGGAGGGGGCUAGCGUUGUUCGGAAUUACUGGGCGUAAAGCGCGCGUAGGCCGUUGUCUAAGUUGGGUGUGAAAGCCCGGGGCUUAACCCCGGAAAUGCGCCCAAGACUGGAUGACUGGAGUCCGGGAGAGGUGGGUGGAACUCCCAGUGUAGAGGUGAAAUUCGUAGAUAUUGGGAAGAACACCGGUGGCGAAGGCGGCCCACUGGACCGGUACUGACGCUGAGGCGCGAAAGCGUGGGGAGCAAACAGG